rnacentral:lncRNA from 1 species
GCCGCCAUCAUCUCCUCGUGGGUAAACGUGCUCUGAUUGAACCCUACGGACAUCGUCGGCGGCGGCGGAGGCGGCGGCUGGAGGUUGGAGUAAUUCUCGCUAUUCAUGUCCCCACUCGACAUCGGCGGCCCUCCUCCUCCCUGCCACCCGCUCCCAGGAGGAUUCUGUCCGCCGCUGUAAUUCAUCCCCAUCGGCGGAGGAGGACCCUGCGAUUGCUGCCAUUUCUGUUGUCCGCUAUUCAUGUAGUAUUGCUGCUCCGGCGGGUACUCCCCGGUGUAGUAAUUCAUAUGGUUAGGGUUCUGAUUCUUUUUCUUCUUCUUCUUCCGACAGCAGCAGCAGCAUAUGCACAUCAUGAAGAAGAUGAGAAGCAGAAAUACGACCACGGCGGAGAGUUCGGCAUUGUAUCGUGAGCCCUUGUCCCGCUCUCUCCGUUACUGUUGGAAUUAUUAUUGCUGUCCUUGUUGUUGUUGUCAGUGGCGCCCUCACGGCGAGGCCGCGGCGCCGGAGGAGAGGCAGCGUUAGCGUUUCCAUCGGAGGGAGGCGGCGGUGGGGAAUCUUUGGAAGAGGGAGGUGAUCCGGUAGGAGAUUGACCCGUUCCGUUACCCGAUUGUGAGUCUGAAUCUGUGUUUGACGAAGCAUCUCCAGAAGGGGAUUCCGCAUUCGACAUUUUUGCUUUAUAUCUUUCAACGGCAGAUUUGUUUUCUUUCAGGUUCAAUUCUUACCUUGUGAAUUUCCGGCAGAAGAAUAUCGCAUUGGAAACACAACGCCGGAAAUUUCACCACCUCUCAAUUCCUGUUACAAUUACAGAGAAGCAUCAAUUUGCAAUCCUUAUAAGAUAAGGAUUCGUAACUGAAAGAUUACCAGAAGAAAGAUUCAGAGGAAGGCGAUGAGAUGAAGAUUGAAGAGUGUUGUUGGUUGAAAGGGAAGCCCUCUGGCUUGUUCUUCACAGAGGAUGUUGUUACAAAGCCGGGCUCCCCUUUCUCUCCUCACAACCUCAAAGGUUGACAGAGUUAUGGGGAGAAUGAAAUCUUCCAACUUCUCAGGUUGCUUUGUGUUAGAGAUUAAUGAAUACGAACAAAGAAAGACAAAUCUAACCUCAUUAGUUUGUUCUGUUUUGAUUUCAUGCUUCUUUUACCAUUCAUGGCUGUAAAUAACCAUUUAACAAACUCAACA